rnacentral:rRNA from 1 species
UACGUAGGGGGCGAGCGUUGUCCGGAUUUAUUGGGCGUAAAGAGCGUGUAGGCGGUUCGGUAAGUCUGUCGUGAAAUCCUGAGGCUCAACCUCGGACGUGCGAUGGAUACUGCCGGGCUAGAGGAUGGUAGAGGCGAGUGGAAUUCCCGGUGUAGCGGUGAAAUGCGCAGAUAUCGGGAGGAACACCAGUAGCGAAGGCGGCUCGCUGGGCCGACACUGACACUGAGAGACGAAAGCUAGGGGAGCAAAUGGG